AUUGAACGCUGGCGGCAUGCCUUACACAUGCAAGUCGAACGGUAACAGGUCUUCGGAUGCUGACGAGUGGCGAACGGGUGAGUAAUACAUCGGAACGUGCCUAGUAGUGGGGGAUAACUACUCGAAAGAGUGGCUAAUACCGCAUGAGAUCUACGGAUGAAAGCAGGGGAUCGCAAGACCUUGUGCUACUAGAGCGGCCGAUGGCAGAUUAGGUAGUUGGUGGGAUAAAAGCCUACCAAGCCGACGAUCUGUAGCUGGUCUGAGAGGACGAUCAGCCACACUAGGACUGAGACACGGCCCAGACUCCUACGGGAGGCAGCAGUGGGGAAUUUUGGCAGAUUGGCGCAAGCCUGAUCCAGCAAAGCCGCGUGCAGGAUGCAGGCCUUCGGGUUGUAAACUGCUUUUGUACGGAAAGAAAAGCCCUGGGUUAAUACCCUGGGGUCAUGACGGUACCGUAAGAAUAAGCACCGGCUAACUACGUGCCAGCCGCCGCGGUAAUAC
rnacentral:rRNA from 1 species